UACAGAGGGGGCGAGCGUUGUUCGGAAUUACUGGGCGUAAAGGGCGCGUAGGCGGCCUUCUAAGUCGAACGUGAAAUCCCCGGGCUCAACCCGGGAACUGCGUCCGAUACUGGGAGGCUUGAAUCCGGGAGAGGGAUGUGGAAUUCCAGGUGUAGCGGUGAAAUGCGUAGAUAUCUGGAGGAACACCGGUGGCGAAGGCGGCAUCCUGGACCGGUAUUGACGCUGAGGCGCGACAGGCGUGGGGGAGCAAACGAGG
rnacentral:rRNA from 1 species